rnacentral:rRNA from 1 species
GAUGAACGCUAGCUACAGGCUUAACACAUGCAAGUCGAGGGGAAACGAUAUUGGAAGCUUGCUUCCGAUAGGCGUCGACCGGCGCACGGGUGAGUAACGCGUAUCCAACCUGCCCACCACUUGGGGAUAAGCUUGCGAAAGUAAGACUAAUACCCAAUGAUAUCUCUAGAAGACAUCUGAAGGAGAUUAAAGAUUUAUCGGUGAUGGAUGGGGAUGCGUCUGAUUAGCUUGGUGGCGGGUUAACGGCCCACCAAGGCGACGAUCAGUAGGGGUUCUGGGAGGAAGGGCCCCCACAUUGGAACUGAGACACGGUCCAAACUCCUACGGGAGGCAGCAGUGAGGAAUAUUGGUCAAUGGACGAGAGUCUGAACCAGCCAAGUAGCGUGCAGGAUGACGGCCCUAUGGGUUGUAAACUGCUUUUAUAAGGGAAUAAAGUGAGCCUCGUGAGGCUUUUUGCAUGUACCUUAUGAAUAAGGACCGGCUAAUUCCGUGCCAGCCGCCGCCGUAA